ensembl:lncRNA
CUGGAGAAUCCCAGGGACGGGGGAGCCUGGUGGGCUGCCGUCUAUGGGGUCGCACAGAGUCGGACACGACUGAAGCGACUUAGCAGCAAACCUUACAUGUUUUAUUUAUACCUAAAAAGAUACUUUGAGAUAUUCCACAAAUUGUAUUUCCCUUAGGUUGCAGAAGCUACUAACUGUGCAGGUCACAUGAUUGAAAAUGAAACCAGUCAGAUGUGAAGAAAUGUAUCAUGGGCCAUCCCACCGUUACCACCUCACAUCCUGACUAUGGAGUCUACUCACAUCUCCCAGAGACUACUCCAUCAAGAAAUGAGGAAAGGGAGUGAAUUCAUCUUCAUUGUACUUGUCAUCUGCUCCCUCUUAGGCCAGAUGAAGGGCACGGAUCAAGAGUGCUUCUCAGCAUCUCUGUUUCCAGAGCGACAGUUCCCUGUCCCUGAU